rnacentral:rRNA from 1 species
AACGCCUGCCCGGUGAAUAAUUAAACGGCCGCGGUACCCUAACCGUGCAAAGGUAGCGUAAUCACUUGUCUAUUAAUUGUAGACCCGUAUGAAAGGCAUAAUGAGGGUCUGACUGUCUCUUUUAGUAAGUCAAUUAAACUGAUCUCCUAGUACAAAAGCUAGAAUACCAACAUAAGACCAGAAGACCCUGUGAAACUUUAACCAAACUAUCAAAACCCAUGAUAACUACUUUAGGUUGGGGCGACCUUGGAAAAAAAAGAACUUCCAAACACAUAUAUAUAUAAUAAUAUACUACCAGGCUAACAAGCCCACAACGACCCAGCACAGCUGACAAUUGAACCAAGCUACUCCAGGGAUAACAGCGCUAUCUUCUUCAAGAGCCCAUAUCAAAAAGAAGGUUUACGACCUCGAUGUUGGAUCAGGACAUCCUAAUGGUGCAACCGCUAUUAAGGGUUCGUUUGUUCAACGAUUAAUAGUCCUACGUG